rnacentral:rRNA from 1 species
UGGGGAAUAUUGCACAAUGGGCGCAAGCCUGAUGCAGCCAUGCCGCGUGUAUGAAGAAGGCCUUCGGGUUGUAAAGUACUUUCAGCGGGGAGGAAGGGAGUAAAGUUAAUACCUUUGCUCAUUGACGUUACCCGCAGAAGAAGCACCGGCUAACUCCGUGCCAGCAGCCGCGGUAAUACGGAGGGUGCAAGCGUUAAUCGGAAUUACUGGGCGUAAAGCGCACGCAGGCGGUUUGUUAAGUCAGAUGUGAAAUCCCCGGGCUCAACCUAGGAAAUGCAUCUGAUACUGGCAAGCUGGAGUCUCGUAGAGGGGGGUAGAAUUCCAGGUGUAGCGGUGAAAUGCGUAGAGAUCUGGAGGAAUACCGGUGGCGAAGGCGGCACCCUGGACGAAGACUGACGCUCAGGUGCGAAAGCGUGGGGAGCAAACAGG